UGACGGUACCUAACCAGAAAGCCACGGCUAACUACGUGCCAGCAGCCGCGGUAAUACGUAGGUGGCAAGCGUUGUCCGGAAUUAUUGGGCGUAAAGCGCGCGCAGGCGGUUUCUUAAGUCUGAUGUGAAAGCCCCCGGCUCAACCGGGGAGGGUCAUUGGAAACUGGGGAACUUGAGUGCAGAAGAGGAGAGUGGAAUUCCACGUGUAGCGGUGAAAUGCGUAGAGAUGUGGAGGAACACCAGUGGCGAAGGCGACUCUCUGGUCUGUAACUGACGCUGAGGAGCGAAAGCGUGGGGAGCGAACAGGAUUAGAUACCCUGGUAGUCCACGCCGUAAACGAUGAGUGCUAAGUGUUAGGGGGUUUCCGCCCCUUAGUGCUGCAGCAAACGCAUUAAGCACUCCGCCUGGGGAGUACGGUCGCAAGACUGAAACUCAAAGGAAUUGACGGGGGCCCGCACAAGCGGUGGAGCAUGUGGUUUAAUUCGAAGCAACGCGAAGAACCUUACCAGGUCUUGACAUCCUCUGACAACCCUAGAGAUAGGGCUUUCCCUUCGGGGGCAGAGUGA
rnacentral:rRNA from 1 species